rnacentral:rRNA from 1 species
UACGUAGGGUGCAAGCGUUGUCCGGAAUUAUUGGGCGUAAAGAGCUCGUAGGCGGUUUGUCGCGUCUGCUGUGAAAUCCCGAGGCUCAACCUCGGGUCUGCAGUGGGUACGGGCAGACUAGAGUGCGGUAGGGGAGAUUGGAAUUCCUGGUGUAGCGGUGAAAUGCGCAGAUAUCAGGAGGAACACCGGUGGCGAAGGCGGGUCUCUGGGCCGAUACUGACGCUGAGGAGCGAAAGCGUGGGGGAGCGAACAGG